UCCGUGGUCAGCUCUGGGGACAGAGAGAGGGACAGGGGUCAGUGUGGUCAGUGUGGUCAGUGGUCAGUGGGGCAGCAGCGCCAGCUCCGUGGUCAGUUCUGGGGACAGAGAGAGGGACAGGGGUCAGUGUGGUCAGUGUGGUCAGUGGGGUCAGUGGUCAGUGUGGUCAGUGGUCAGUGGGGUCAGUGUUGUGGUCAGUGGGGUCAGUGGUCAGUGUGGUCAGUGGUCAGUGGGGUCAGUGGGGGGGUCAGUGUGGUGGUCAGUGUUGUGGUCAGUGUGGUGGUCAGUGGGGGGUCAGUGGGGUCAGCUCUGGGGACACCGAGUGACCCCGGGGGUCACUGGGGACAGGCUCCGUGGUCAGUUCCGGCCGGGUCACUGGUCACCGAGAGCCCCCCCAAUUCCGGACCCCUCCCCAAUUCCG
rnacentral:lncRNA from 1 species